UCCCAGAGGUGGCCAAGGGGUGUCUCCAUGUGGCCAUAGAAACCCUAACAGCUCUCUUUGCAACAAUGUCUGGGGAAGGGUUAUUUAGUUCUGGCCUCUGGAGCUCCAUCCAUCAAACGAGUCUUUCUCCUUUUGAUAGGUCUGAGAGCACCAGGGCCUCAGUCCCUGUAAAAUGGGUUGCCAUUCCAGCAAGGGCACCGAGGUGGUAGAGGAGUCCCGGAAACCUGGAGAUCACGCCGAUGGAGGAGAGCCGAAGGUGGAGUCUGGCACCGAGGCUGCGGAUGACAAGGAUGCCUCAACAAAGGACGGAACCCCUGAGCUGAAGAACUGACCCUCUUUCUUGGGUGGACCCUCAACUUGUCCCUGGAACUGCCUUUGACCUGUGAGGCCCCACCCUGAAGAGCUAUCCAUGGAGGACAGAAAGAGCCCUGGUUAGGAUGUGACCUUCACCGGGCUUGCUCUCUGGCUUUGGGGGAGACGAAGGGUUAAGCUUGAAGUGCUCAGUAAAGAGGACAAAGGACUGCUUCAUUCCUCUUGGGGCCUUUCCCACAGCUUCUGGAAAGAGAAAAACAUGCAGUUGACUCCUCUGGUCCAGACUAUGUGCUUCUGGGCUAUGAACGUCCAGCCAUACCAUCUGCUUUCCUUCCCCGGAACUCUGGAGGCUCCAUCGCCUUCACAUCGAUUGGGACUAUAGAUCUUGGUUUGGUCUUAAUCUCGCUCCCUUUUUCUAACAGCUGAAUGAGCAGCCAGCAUGCCCGACAGGAAGCUUCUGCAUUUGGCUCUCUUCACCUUGUUUGCAUGAAUAAUUUAGUAUUUAACUUACAGUAUCAUUAAUGAAUUAUGGGAAUGAUCAGGAUUGGACGGGGAUUCCAUGAAUGGAUGGCGACAAGGCCUUGGGCUCACAGCAAGCG
rnacentral:lncRNA from 1 species